UGCAUGCUUUAUACAUGCAAGUCGAACGAAGGCCCUAGCUUGCUAGGUGUCCUUAGUGGCGCACGGGUGAGUAACACGUGGGAACAUACCUCAUAGUACGGAAUAACUGCGGGAAACUGUAGCUAAUACCGUAUAUUCCAGAAAUGGGAAAGAUUUAUCGCUAUGAGAUUGGCCCGCGCAAGAUUAGCUUGUUGGUAAGGUAACGGCUUACCAAGGCUCCGAUCUUUAGCUGGUUUGAGAGGAUGAUCAGCCACACUGGGACUGAGACACGGCCCAGACUCCUACGGGAGGCAGCAGUAGGGAAUAUUGGACAAUGGGGGAAACCCUGAUCCAGCAAUGCAGCGUGAGUGACGAAGGCCUUAGGGUUGUAAAACUCUUUCAUCGGUGAGGAUAAUGACAGUAGCCGAAGAAGAAGGACCGG
rnacentral:rRNA from 1 species